CUAAAACAGGCACAAUUUCAAUCUAAUUAAUUGUAUCUGAGAUUUUUUUACCAGAUUUUUUUACUAACAGGGAGCCCUCACUUUUUGCCGUAGCAAAACUGUUGGCAACUGGUCUUGUAAAUCUGAACAGGGUAGAAGUUCUUUGGCAUCCUGUAACAAAUCACCUGCUUGAAGUCAUCAUCCACCCACUUAACCGCUUGAGAGAAUGGGGAAUAGAUGUCAUUACUACGUUAGUUAGAUCAGUAAUUCAAUAUGAUUAUUCUACCCCUUUAAAAGAAAACCAGAGAUUGCAGACAUUGUUAAUAUCACCAUUAAAUGAGCUGUCUAGUACCAGUUUUGCAGACGUGCAGCUACAGCAAGUUGAUUGUGUGCUCCAUUUGCUGCACAGCUCUGGUGACAUAAUCUCUUUUGGAUGGCCCUUGUUUCUUAAUAUCAUAGGAGAUACCAACAAUUCUCAAGGUAAAUUGUCUUUAAAAUAACUGAAACAACAUGAAAAUUUUUUUGCGCUUGCUCACUUGGGUC